UCGAUGAUUAUUAUCGAUAUACUCUCCAGGCAUCAAAUCCACCAGUCAGCCAGCCAGCCAGUCAGCCAUGAUCAACAUUCAAAAACAGAUAUUUUUUUUUUGUUCACAAAUUUAAAAUUUUGAAAAAUUAAUGCAAAAGAAAAAAUUGAUUUUCAUAAUGAUUCCAUUAAAAUGGUCCAAUCACAUGAUGUUGAUGAUGAUUUUUUUUUACAACAGACCGGCAUACGUUGUACUUGAUAAGUGUUUGUUGUUGUUGUACAUUUUUUUUUUUUUGUUCCAAAUAAAAAAAAAUAGCUAGA